CCUACGGGAGGCAGCAGUGAGGAAUAUUGGUCAAUGGGCUCGCGCCUGAACCAGCCAAGUAGCGUGAAGGAUGACUGCCCUACGGGUUGUAAACUUCUUUUAUAAAGGAAUAAAGUGAGGCACGUGUGCCUUUUUGUAUGUACUUUAUGAAUAAGGAUCGGCUAACUCCGUGCCAGCAGCCGCGGUAAUACGGAGGAUCCGAGCGUUAUCCGGCUUUCUUGGGUUUAAAGGGAGCGUAGAUGGGUUGUUAAGUCAGUUGUGAAAGUUUGCGGCUCAACCGUAAAAUUGCAAUUGAUACUGGCAGGCGUGAGAACAGUUGAGGGAGGCGGAAUUCGUGGUGUAGCGGUGAAAUGCUUAGAUAUCACGAAGAACUCCGAUUGCGAAGGCAGCUUACUAAACUGCCACUGACAUUGAUGCUCGAAAGUGUGGGUAUCAAACAGGAUUAGAGACCCUGGUAGUC
rnacentral:rRNA from 1 species